UGUUGACUCGUCCAACAUGUCAAUUACUCACAUAAUAAACAGUCAUGGUGGCCUGGGCAUGAUUAGUUUGGAUGCCAUUAAUACAAGGAUUGACCUUAACGUGGGUUUGGGAUUCAACAUUAUUAGGCAAAAGCCUGUAGCCUCAAUAGGUUUGGUGGAGAUGACUUCCUCUGCCAGUUAUUUAUUGUUUUUUUCCACAUGUUGUUAUAUUAUUAGUUGGAGAAUUCUUGCCCCCACAUCAACAUUGUAAGCAUGAAAAAUACCUUAAAGCUAAUAUAAAGUGAACAACAAAAACAAAAAACCAGCUCCAAACAACUUUGCUAGUACUCGGACAAAUAAAAAGGUGAAUGUCCAAGAACAAUAGAAUACCACCAGACAGCUAGCAAUCCACCAUAAAUAACCUUAAAUAAAUAAACAAUAAAAAAGUUGAAAUAAUUAGCUCAAGGACCAAAAAAAACAUUUCAAAAUAUUUGAAAAGCCACCCAAUUAACUUAUAAAUUUGCUGAUAUGCAAAGCUAUAAUAUAAGAAAAAAAAUAUUGAUACAAAAAAACCCUAGUUGCAUUCUGGUCUUCUUUCUUUUUGUCGACAAUCAACCGCAAGAAAGCUAAGAGGGAAAGGUGGCCACUGUCCCUCCUCUCCUCUUCCCAUCUUCCCUUUCCUCUCCUCAUCUCCCCUUCUUCUUUUUUUUGGGUGGGGGCUGAUGGAUUUGGUCGUAGAGAGAGAGAGAGAGAGGCAGAGAGAUAUAGAGAAUGAGGGCAGAGUCGCAGAGAGUCGCAGAAGACAGAGUCGCAGAAGACAGAGUCGCAGAGAGUCGCAGAAGGCAGAGUCGUAGAGAGAGGGGAGAAGGGGUGGGUGGUCCCACUACUCUGUUGAUUAAAAUGAUUUUUUUCAUUUUAUAUGUCAUAUUAUUUUAUUUUAUUGUAUUUAAUUAUUUAUUCAUAACUUUAGGUUAGUCAUUAAAUUUCAUCAAAUAAUGGUGAUUGUUGUUUUUUUUUUUUUUUAGUAGUGAAGAGAUGUAAAGAGUAGAAUAUCUAAGUCACUUUUAUUUUUAUUCGUAGCUUUAUGGUUAGUAAUUUGUUUACAUAUGUACAAUUUCAUGAUCAGUGUAUGUUUUUCUUUGUUUUGUUUUGUUUUUGUUUUUUUUUUCUGGUUCAAUUUAUAGAACAGUCUCCUUUUGCGA